rnacentral:tRNA from 1 species
GGGCCGUUAGCUCAGCUGGCAGAGCAGCUGACUCUUAAUCAGCGGGUCCACAGUUCGAACCUGUGACGGCCCACCA